rnacentral:lncRNA from 1 species
GUUACUGAAUAUUUUGCAGUGGGUAGCCAGCCUUAGGUCAUGUGCAUACAAACUGUUCUUCGUUUUCUCUUUCCUCCUGGGCUCAUCUUUUGGAUCUGGUAACAUACUGUGGAUUUGCUGCUGCAUGUUCUGGGUAGAACACAUCAAUCAGUAAUGCUUGUUUCCAGGAGUUUUGAGGUGAUCUAGACUAGCUCUUAAAUUAGUUAGUCCAGAUAUUAGCUAAAUUAUUUGUUGUGCCCCCAGAAUGCAAUGACUUGAUGUAGAUACCUACUGUGAGGGAAAAUACUGACAUAAAUUGUUUUUUCAAAGGUAUUUAACUACCCGCAGAGGUUCAAAGGAUUCCAAAGAACUGCAUGAAAGAUAUCCAAGGCAUGCAUCAUUUGUUCCUCUUGUUCCCUAAGGCUUGCUGUAGUGAAGGACCUAGAUGCUUCCCUCCUACAAAGGGAUACAAAAGCAGCACCAAACUUCCACCUCCGCAUGUUAUAAUAACAGUG